CAGCGGAUUGGUCUAGGGAAUCUACGUUUCGCGAUUUUUAUUUCCGCCCGAUUGACCAUGUCUCCUCGUUAGUUGUGGCUCAGCUUUAAACUAGCAUAAUAGGAGCCUCCGUGUCAUUAAUAAAAUUCCCAGAUUUUACUAAUAACAUGACGUAAAGUCAUGAUUUUAUUAAUGACACGGAAGCGAGUAUUAUUCCCACCCAUCCAACCGUUGGGAAGGGCUUGGGUCUAUACUCAUUGUUCUAUCGGGGAGAUCUUUUACCUCAAGGUAAGUGUUCA